UACGAAGGGGGCUAGCGUUGUUCGGAAUUACUGGGCGUAAAGCGCACGUAGGCGGAUAUUUAAGUCAGGGGUGAAAUCCCGGGGCUCAACCCCGGAACUGCCUUUGAUACUGGGUAUCUCGAGUCCGAGAGAGGUGAGUGGAAUUCCGAGUGUAGAGGUGAAAUUCGUAGAUAUUCGGAGGAACACCGGUGGCGAAGGCGGCUCACUGGCUCGGUACUGACGCUGAGGUGCGAAAGCGUGGGGAGCAAACAGGG
rnacentral:rRNA from 1 species